AUUGAACGCUGGCGGCAGGCCUAACACAUGCAAGUCGAGGGGUAACGAGAGGAAAGCUUGCUUUCCUUGUCGACGACCGGCGCACGGGUGAGUAACGCGUAUCCAACCUGCCCCCAACUAGGGAAUAACCUUGCGAAAGUAAGACUAAUACCCUAUAAUUUCCUCAGAUGUCAUCUGACGAGGAAUAAAGAUUUAUCGGCUGUGGAUGGGGAUGCGUUUGAUUAGCUUGUUGGCGGGGUAACGGCCCACCAAGGCAACGAUCAGUAGGGGUUCUGAGAGAAAGGUCCCCCACAUUGGAACUGAGACACGGUCCAAACUACUACGGGAGACAGCAGUGAGGAAUAUUGGUCAAUGGGCGGAAGCCUGAACCAGCCAAGUAGCGUGCAGGAUGACGGCCCUAUGGGUUGUAAACUGCUUUUAUACAGGAAUAAAGUUAGCCACGUGUGGUUAUUUGUAGGUACUGUAUGAAUAAGGACCGGCUAAUUCCGUGCCAGCCGCCGCAGUAA
rnacentral:rRNA from 1 species